AACUUUCGACAAUGGAUCUCUUGGUUCUGGCAUCGAUGAAGAACGCAGCGAAAUGCGAUAAGUAAUGUGAAUUGCAGAACUCCGUGAAUCAUCAAAUUCUUGAACGUAAAUGGCGGUGCCCAACUCUUCGGGGCUGGACACCACAUCUGUGUGAGCGUCAUUUAAAUCACAAUAUCCCACAUACCCGCGUGGUGUGUGUGCGAUGAUAUGGCGGUUCCAGCUGCAGCCAUUGCAUCGGCUGUGUGGUUGAAUCCGUUCAAGUGAGCGAGGACGCGCGUGCCACACAAUGGCUCGUCUGCCUCCUGAUAUAGUAUUGGUCUAAGCCACACUAGCAUCAGGCGACCAGCGCGAAACCAUGGCGCGACCAACGCAUCCUUGAAUGCACUCCCUCUCUGGGGAGCCUUCAAAUAUGACCUCAUAUCAGGUGAGAAGACCCGCUGAAUUUAAGCAUAUCAAUAAGCGGAGGCU
rnacentral:misc_RNA from 1 species